AGGUACAGAAAAUGUACAACAUUAAUAUUAUUAAGAACUCCACGAAAGACACUUCACCAAAUAGCAGAGUGAGCAUCCACUCUGUCGAAAUAUCACUCAGAUCCAUUCGGUAGAUUAGGAACGCCAUUCGAGUGAAGUUUAGACUGGUCAACCACGAGGUGAAACCCCAAAAUAGUUCCAGAUGGUUUUAGGCUUUGACCGGUCUUCUUU